CGACCUCUACGGAUGAUUCACACAAAGCUUCUCAGACCGAUCAACCCUCUGUAGGAGUGCUUGCUCGUGUAGUCGACUUCUGAUGGCAGAUCUGACUUGAUCUCCUUCUUCGAUCAUCUUGAAUCUUUUUGAUGUCAAAGAUGGAUCAGAGAAGGAUGCUGGAUGAUAGAGAAAAUUAGAUGAAGACUCUCUUUUCUUUAGCUUUUUUCUUACCCAAAAAUCUAGAACAGUUCUAGAUCUCUCACCCAAGAGGAGAACAGUCUCCUCUUUUGUUCAGGCCAAAG
rnacentral:lncRNA from 1 species